GCUGGUGUUUCUAAGUGGUUAGAGCAUCCAUUGUGCAUCGAUGGGUCGUGGGUUCAAUUCCCGUCACAGGCA
rfam:Myotis lucifugus cont2.21705, whole genome shotgun sequence.